rnacentral:rRNA from 1 species
CGACUAUGUAAUGUAGUUUCUCUUCGGAGCCAGGGAUGACAGGUGGUGCAUGGUUGUCGUCAGCUCGUGUCGUGAGAUGUUGGGUUAAGUCCCGCAACGAGCGCAACCCCUGUCCUUAGUAGCCAGCAGUUCGGCUGGGCACUCUAGGGAGACUGCCGGGGAUAACCCGGAGGAAGGUGGGGAUGACGUCAAAUCAUCAUGCCCCUUAUGAUUUGGGCUACACACGUGCUACAAUGGCGUAAACAAAGAGAAGCAGAGUCGUGAGGCCGAGCAAAUCUCAAAAAUAACGUCUCAGUUCGGAUUGUAGUCUGCAACUCGACUACAUGAAGCUGGAAUCGCUAGUAAUCGCGAAUCAAAUGUCGCGG